AGUGCAGUCGAGCGACAGAAAGGAGCUUGCUCCUUGUGACGUUAGCGGCGGACGGGUGAGUAACACGUGGGCAACCUACCCUAUAGUUUGGGAUAACUCCGGGAAACCGGGGCUAAUACCGAAUAAUCUCUUUUACUUCGUGGUGAAAGACUGAAAGACGGCAUCUCGCUGUCGCUAUAGGAUGGGCCCGCGGCGCAUUAACUAGUUGGUGAGGUAACGGCUCACCAAGGCGACGAUGCGUAGCCGACCUGAGAGGGUGAUCGGCCACGCUGGGACUGAGACACGGCCCAUACUCCUACGGGAGGCAGCAGUAAGGAAUCUUCCACGAUGGACGAAAGCCUGAUGGAGCAACGCCGCGUGAGUGAAGAAUGUUUUCGGAUCGUAAAACUCUGUUGUAAGGGAAGAACAGGUACAGUAAUAACUGGCUGUACCUUGACGGUACCUUAUUAAAAAGCCACGGCUAACUACGUGCCAGCAGCCGCGGUAAUACGUAGGUGGCAAGCGUUGUCCGGAAUUAUUGGGCGUAAAGCGCGCGCAGGCGGUCCUUUAAGUCUGAUGUGAAAGCCCACGGCUCAACCGUGGAGGGUCAUUGAAAACUGGAGGACUUGAGUGCAGAAGAGGAAAGUGGAAUUCCAAGUGUAGCGGUGAAAUGCGUAGAGAUUUGGAGCAACACCAGUGGCGAAGGCGACUUUCUGGUCUGUAGCUGACGCUGAGGCGCGAAAGGCGUGGGGGAAGCAAACAGGAUUAGAAUAUACCCGUGGUUAUGUCCACGCCGUAAGACGAUGGAGUGCUAAGUGAUGAGGGGGGUCUUCCGCCCUCUUAGCUGCUGCAGCUAACGCAUUAAGUCACUGCCGCCUGGAGGAGUAGCGGUCGCCAAGUACUGAUACUCAGAGGAGUCGACGGGCGCCCCGCACAGCGGUGGGAGGCAUGUGGUUUAAUUCGAAGCAACGCGAAGAACCUUACCAGGUCUUGACAUCCCGUUGACCACUGUAGAAGAUAUAGUUUCCCUUCGGGGGCAACGGUGACAGGUGGUGCAUGGUUGUCGUCAGCUCGUGUCGUGAGAUGUUGGGUUAAGUCCCGCAACGAGCGCAACCCUUGAUCUUAGUUGCCAUCAUUUAGUUGGGCACUCUAAGGUGACUGCCGGUGACAAACCGGAGGAAGGUGGGGAUGACGUCAAAUCAUCAUGCCCCUUAUGACCUGGGCUACACACGUGCUACAAUGGACGAUACAAACGGUUGCCAACUCGCGAGAGGGAGCUAAUCCGAUAAAGUCGUUCUCAGUUCGGAUUGUAGGCUGCAACUCGCUUACAUGAAGCCGGAAUCGCUAGUAAUCGCGGAUCAGCAUGCCGCGGUGAAUACGUUCCCGGGCCUUGUACACACCGCCCGUCACACCACGAGAGUUUGUACCACCCGAAGUCGGUGAGGUAACCUCUGGA
rnacentral:rRNA from 1 species